rnacentral:lncRNA from 1 species
AUGAUGAUCGCCGCCGUCGCCGUCGCCGCGGCGCUUGCCGCGGCGGGCGCCGCCGUGGCCAUGGCCGGAAGGCGGCGGUGGGGAUACAGGGGCGUCGCGGUGGCCGUGGCGGUGUGCGUCCACGCGGCGGUGCUCCUCUCCGCCGUCGUCUACCUGUCCGUCGUCCCCUCUGCUGGGCCAGGGGCUAGCAGUAGCUCGUCGUCCCUGCAGGAAACGGAGGUGAUGAAGCUGACCGCUAAGAUGGAGCAGAUCAUCGAGAAAUACGGUAAAAGUGAUGGGAUGAUGUAUGCCUUGGCAAGUUUCUUGUCGAAGAACCCCAGGAUCAUCAAGGAGAUGACCUACAGAAUCACCAACCCCGACGGCACAGAGAAAGCUGAACUGGCGGUCACAAUGAAGGACGACGUCAAGGUCCAGUCUCCACGAACUAACGACAUCUUGGUACGUACACCAAUACUUCAAUUUUAUUUUCCCGUAUAUGUACAUAUUAUAAUUGAAUUUGCAACGCGCAGUACUGUCUCUGAUUCCAUAAUAGUUUUGUUUUGGACAAUGCUAAGCACAAACUUUUAGGAAUUUGACC